GGCAAGAUGGCCGAGCGGUCUAAGGCGCUGGAAUCAGGUGGUUUUAUGCACCCAGUGCGGUGUCUGUCACUUAGUGGUCUGCGCGCUGCAUUUGGUGAAUCCAGUCCUCACGGGCGCGAGUUCGAAUCUCGCUCUUGUCA
rfam:Daedalea quercina L-15889 unplaced genomic scaffold DAEQTscaffold_23, whole genome shotgun sequence.